rnacentral:lncRNA from 1 species
CGACCUAAUUUACCUCUACGUCGAACCGGUGUACUUUAUGCAUCACCCAAACAACCGAAUUAUCAAAUCACAUGAGAAAAAAGAAAAAAAAAAUCAUAAUUUUGCUGGUGGGUUAGAAAAUCGAAGUCAGAGAUGGUGCUUUAAAGCGGGAGUGAUUGAAAAAUGCAGUAGAAGUAGUAGAAGACUAGAAGUUGAAGGUUUUCCCCAAAUCACACGCCUCAAUUUCUGCGACGACUCCCCAAAAUGCUCACCUCCAAACCCUCUCACUCUCACUCUCACUCUCACUCUCCAAUUCAAAUUCUCACCGUCGACGACGACGACGACGACGACGAUGCCGGCGCUGACGUCAUCUUCCCUCCGAUUCCCCACAGCUCGUCCUCCGCCGCGGUCGCCCUCCACGACGAUCGAAAAGACCCAUCUGCCCCCAGAUCAUCUCCCUCCCCGACGAACCCGAUGACGGAGACGACGACGAGAUUCGGAUUCUCCGAUUCAAACCCACCAAAACCCACUUCAAAAAGCAAAGAACAAACCCGUUUACAUCCGGGUCCGUAUCCGAACCCGGCCAGUCCUCCUCCUCCGAUUCUCUCACCGACUACCCACCAUUCGUCUGUGAAAUCUGCGCCGACGACAAGCUUGGCUACCAAUCUUUUCCGAUUGUGUGAUCAACUACAUCGAUUCCAAGCUCCAAGAAAACGAACCCACAAUCCG